CGUUCCCGGGCCUUGUACACACCGCCCGUCACACCACGAGAGUUUGUAACACCCGAAGUCGGUGGGGUAACCGUAAGGAGCCAGCCGCCUAAGGUGGGACAGAUGACUGGGGUG
rnacentral:rRNA from 1 species